rnacentral:tRNA from 1 species
UGGUCAUUAGCUUAGUCUGGGUAAAGCAUCCGUCUGAUACACGGAAGAUCGCGGGUUCAAAUCCCGCAUGGCCAA